rnacentral:rRNA from 1 species
GAUGAACGCUGGCGGCGUGCCUAAUACAUGCAAGUCGAGCGAACAGACGAGGAGCUUGCUCCUCUGACGUUAGCGGCGGACGGGUGAGUAACACGUGGAUAACCUACCUAUAAGACUGGGAUAACUUCGGGAAACCGGAGCUAAUACCGGAUAAUAUAUUGAACCGCAUGGUUCAAUAGUGAAAGACGGUUUUGCUGUCACUUAUAGAUGGAUCCGCGCCGCAUUAGCUAGUUGGUAAGGUAACGGCUUACCAAGGCAACGAUGCGUAGCCGACCUGAGAGGGGGAUCGGCCACACUGGAACUGAGACACGGUCCAGACGCCUACGGGAGGCAGCAGUAGGGAAUCUUCCGCAAUGGGCGAAAGCCUGACGGAGCAACGCCGCGUGAGUGAUGAAGGGCUUCGGAUCGUAAAACUCUGUUAUUAGGGAAGAACAAAUGUGUAAGUAACUAUGCACGUCUUGACGGUACCUAAUCAGAAAGCCACGGCUAACUACGU